rnacentral:piRNA from 1 species
UAACAUUUUAGAUCCUGAGCCUAAUGCCU